UGGCGGAGGUUGGGAGUCCCUGCUAUGACUCUGUUUGCAAACUCUUGUUUCAUUGUUUAAGCGAUUAAAUCUCUCGAGUAGACGCUGUCUCUUUAGAUGCGAGGGCAAAAUAGCACUUUAUGGACUUCCACAGAGGACAUCAUGUUUAAUACGGUUCCGGAAAAAUCCAGUCAGAAGUUGUUCACGGAGUUUUCACAAUAACUGCUUCUCAUGAACCGAAGCUGGAUUUGCGCGACGUCUCCUCUUGAAAGUUGGAUUACUGUGCACUUCUGGAUCACAGACUAUUCGCAGCUGUACACAUCCUUCUACACUGUAUGCAAACAUGCAACAUCAUUACACACAGUACAAGGAGUCAGACUGGCAUAUGAGGAGCAAAGGAACCCAGGCAGUAGCAUCGUUUCACAAUGUUUCCAUCAUCAGUGGAUGCCUUUGCCGUCCGUAGCCUGAGAUUUCAGAUUUGCAGCAAAACAUUUUUGAUUUUCUCAUUUAUUGGAAUGCUGUGCAGGUAUUUGUACCUUGCAGCCAUCCAUUACAAUGUCACCAAGCCGUAACAAAAGCAGGAGAGGGAAAGUACAAGGCUAUGUUCCCAAAACACACAAGUGACAUACCUUAUGUGGAUGAUGUGAUCAGGCUUGUGUUUGAUGAGGUAUUUGAAGAUAAGCUGAAGGAAACCCCGAUUCCAAUGGACCUGGCAUCACAGUUUGAGAGACCUUCAAAGGAGGACGUGAUUGCAUG